AAGAACUUAUUUUUCUUUUAUGUUCGAUGACACCCAACACGGCUGUGUUGGUGCCCGUGUGGGGAACACGGCCAGUGUUGAAACCAACACGGCCAUGUUCAGAUUCCUCAUGCUCGUACUUAGCUUGUUUCGUCAGCUUCGGUGUCCAAUUAUGCUCAAAUUCUUCCUUUUAUCAUUCUUUAACUUCUUUUGAACCUAAU
rnacentral:lncRNA from 1 species